CACGAAGUUCAAGGAGCUAAUUAAUCAUAUGUUUUUAGACUUAAAGUGUGUAGUAUAAUAUAUAAUUAAUGUUAAUUAGGGGUGAAAGGCUUUUCAAAUUGAAUGAUAACUUGAUUUUUUUUAAAUGUAUUAAGUACGAUUACAAACUUGGAGUUAUAAGGCCCUAAGUAAGAAUAAAUAAACAAUAGUUUUAAGUAUAAAGUUUAAUAGCGAAUACGUUAAUAUAAUAAUAUUAAACUGUGAAGAAUUAUUGAAAUUAAAUAAAAAUAGGUAAAUUUAAUGAUCUAUUUAUUAUGUUUAUAUUAGUAUUAGAUUGAGUACAAAUAAUGAACUCGGCAAUAUCAUUCUCAACUGUUUAUCAAAAACAUAGCUGGUUGAGAGUAUGAUCGGUGAUUUCUGCUCGGUGAUUUAUUUAACAGCCGCAGUACCCUGACUGUGCAAAGGUAGCGCAAUCAAUUGACUUUUAAUUGAAGUCCUGUAUGAAGAAUUCAUGGGAGUGAGCUGUAUAUUUGUAUAAUUAAAAUUUGCUUAGUAGGUGCAAAAACCUAUAAAAAAUUAAUAGACGAGAAGACCCUAGAAAUUUUAAGAAUUUGUUUAAGAGUCUUUUUGUUGGGGCAACAUAGUAGUGGAAUAUCCUACAUAAUGGACAUAAAAUUAAUUAAGAUGAGGAAAUUACUCUAGGGAUAACAGCAUGAUUUAUUAAAGUUUGUGACCUCGAUGUUGGACUAGGAAGUUAGCGUUUAGAA
rnacentral:rRNA from 1 species